rfam:Phenylobacterium sp. Root1277 contig_2, whole genome shotgun sequence.
CCGCGUUCUCAGGGCGGGGUGAAAGUCCCCACCGGCGGUGAUGGCGGCCCUUGGGCCGCAUAAGCCCGCGGGCGCCUGGUGGUCGAUAGACCGGCAGGGACAGCAGAUCCGGUGUGAAUCCGGGGCCGACGGUUAGAGUCCGGUUAUGAGAACCGCUG